rnacentral:rRNA from 1 species
UGGGGGAUAUUGCACAAUGGGCGAAAGCCUGAUGCAGCGACGCCGCGUGGGGGAUGAAGGCCUUCGGGUUGUAAACUUCUUUUGCUCUGAACAAGGCGCACCAUGGGGUGUGUUGAGUGUAGGGGUUGAUUAGCGCCGGCUAACUACGUGCCAGCAGCCGCGGUAAUACGUAGGGCGCGAGCGUUGUCCGGAUUUAUUGGGCGUAAAGGGCUUGUAGGUGGCUGGUUGCGUCUGUCGUGAAAGCUCAUGGCUUAACUGUGGGUUUGCGGUGGGUACGGGCUGGCUUGAGUGCAGUAGGGGAGGCUGGAAUUCCUGGUGUAGCGGUGGAAUGCGCAGAUAUCAGGAGGAAUACCGGUGGCGAAGGCGGGUCUCUGGGCUGUUACUGACACUGAGGAGCGAAAGCAUGGGGAGCGAACAGG